AAGGAUUUAGGUUAAAGAAAACCCACGGCCUUCAAAGCCGUUAAUAGACAGAAAAUCUAAGCCUUA
rnacentral:tRNA from 1 species